rnacentral:rRNA from 1 species
ACGGGUGCGUAACGCGUGGGAAUCUGCCCUCUGGUUCGGAAUAACUCAGGGAAACUUGAGCUAAUACCGGAUAAUGUCUUCGGACCAAAGAUUUAUCGCCUGAGGAUGAGCCCGCGUCGGAUUAGCUAGUUGGUGGGGUAAAAGCCUACCAAGGCGACGAUCCGUAGCUGGUCUGAGGGGAUGAUCAGCCACACUGGGACUGAGACACGGCCCAGACUCCUACAGGAGGCAGCAGUAGGGAAUAUUGGACAAUGGGCGAAAGCCUGAUCCAGCAAUGCCGCGUGAGUGAUGAAGGCCUUAGGGUUGUAAAGCUCUUUUACCCGGGAUGAUAAUGACAGUACCGGGAGAAUAAGCCCCGGCUAACUCCGUGCCAGCAGCCGCGGUAAUACGGAGGGGGCUAGCGUUGUUCGGAAUUACUGGGCGUAAAGCGCACGUAGGCGGCUUUGCAAGUCAGAGGUGAAAGCCCGGGGCUCAACCCCGGAAUUGCCUUUGAGACUGCAUCGCUAGAAUUGUGGAGAGGUAAGUGGAAUUCCGAGUGUAGAGGUGAAAUUCGUAGA